AGUCGAACGGAACUUUUCGGAGUUCAGUGGCGGACGGGUGAGUAACGCGUGAGAAUCUGCCUUCUGGUCGGGGACAACCACUGGAAACGGUGGCUAAUACCGGAUGAGCCUACGGGUAAAAGAUUUAUUGCCAGAAGAGGAGCUCGCGUCUGAUUAGCUAGUUGGUGAGGUAAAGGCUCACCAAGGCAUCGAUCAGUAGCUGGUCUGAGAGGAUGACCAGCCACACUGGGACUGAGACACGGCCCAGACUCCUACGGGAGGCAGCAGUGGGGAAUUUUCCGCAAUGGGCGAAAGCCUGACGGAGCAAGACCGCGUGAGGGAGGAAGGCUCUUGGGUUGUAAACCUCUUUUCUUGGGGAAGAAAAAAAUGACGGUACCCAAGGAAUCAGCAUCGGCUAACUCCGUGCCAGCAGCCGCGGUAAUACGGAGGAUGCAAGCGUUAUCCGGAAUUAUUGGGCGUAAAGCGUCCGCAGGUGGCACUUCAAGUCUGCUGUCAAAGGUCGGGGCUUAACCCCGGGAAGGCAGUGGAAACUGAAGCGCUAGAGUGUCGUAGGGGUAGAGGGAAUUCCCGGUGUAGCGGUGAAAUGCGUAGAGAUCGGGAAGAACAUCGGUGGCGAAAGCGCUCUACUGGACGACAACUGACACUCAGGGACGAAAGCUAGGGGAGCGAAUGGGAUUAGAUACCCCAGUAGUCCUAGCCGUAAACGAUGGAUACUA
rnacentral:rRNA from 1 species